UACAGAGGGUGCGAGCGUUAAUCGGAGUUACUGGGCGUAAAGGGCGCGUAGGCGGUUGUAUGAGUGUGAUGUGAAAGCCCCGGGCUUAACCUGGGAAGUGCAUCGCAAACGAUAUGACUGGAGUAGAUGAGAGGGUGGCGGAAUUUCCGGUGUAGCGGUGAAAUGCGUAGAGAUCGGAAGGAACGUCGAUGGCGAAGGCAGCCACCUGGCAUCAUACUGACGCUGAGGCGCGAAAGCGUGGGGAGCGAACAGG
rnacentral:rRNA from 1 species